rnacentral:rRNA from 1 species
AGGGGGGGCGUAUACUGCAAGUCGUACGCUUCUUUUUCCACCGGAGCUUGCUCCACCGGAAAAAGAAGAGUGGCGAACGGGUGAGUAACACGUGGGUAACCUGCCCAUCAGAAGGGGAUAACACUUGGAAACAGGUGCUAAUACCGUAUAACAAUCGAAACCGCAUGGUUUUGAUUUGAAAGGCGCUUUCGGGUGUCGCUGAUGGAUGGACCCGCGGUGCAUUAGCUAGUUGGUGAGGUAACGGCUCACCAAGGCCACGAUGCAUAGCCGACCUGAGAGGGUGAUCGGCCACAUUGGGACUGAGACACGGCCCAAACUCCUACGGGAGGCAGCAGUAGGGAAUCUUCGGCCCAAGUUGGACGAAAGUCUGACCGAGCAACGCCGCGUGAGUGAAGAAGGUUUUCGGAUCGUAAAACUCUGUUGUUAGAGAAGAACAAGGAUGAGAGUAACUGUUCAUCCCUUGACGGUAUCUAACCAGAAAGCCACGGCUAACUACGUGCCAGCAGCCGCAGGUAAUACGUAGGUGGCAAGCGUUGUCCGGAUUUAUUGGGCGUAAAGCGAGCGCAGGCGGUUUCUUAAGUCUGAUGUGAAAGCCCCCGGCUCAACCGGGGAGGGUCAUUGGAAACUGGGAGACUUGAGUGCAGAAGAGGAGAGUGGAAUUCCAUGUGUAGCGGUGAAAUGCGUAGAUAUAUGGAGGAACACCAGUGGCGAAGGCGGCUCUCUGGUCUGUAACUGACGCUGAGGCUCGAAAGCGUGGGGAGCAAACAGGAUUAGAUACCCUGGUAGUCCACGCCGUAAACGAUGAGUGCUAAGUGUUGGAGGGUUUCCGCCCUUUCAGUGCUGCAGCUAACGCAUUAAGCACUCCGCCUGGGGGAGUACGACCGCAAGGUUGAAACUCAAAGGAAUUGAUCGGGGCCCCGCACAAGCGGUGGAGCAUGUGGUUUGAUUCGAAGCAACGCGAAGAACCUUACCAGGUCUUGACAUCCUUUGACCACUCUAGAGAUAGAGCUUCCCCUUCGGGGGCAAAGUGACAGGUGGUGCAUGGUUGUCGUCAGCUCGUGUCGUGAGAAGUUCGGUUAAGUCCCGCAACGAGCGCAACCCUUAUUGGUAGUAGCCAUCACUCAGUUGGGCACUCUAGCAAGACUGCCGGUGACUAACCGGAGGAAGGUGGGGAUGACGUCAAAUCAUCAUGCCCCUUAUGACCUGGGCUACACACGUGCUACAAUGGGAAGUACAACGAGUCGCAAAGUCGCGAGGCUAAGCUAAUCUCUUAAAGCUUCUCUCAGUUCGGAUUGUAGGCUGCAACUCGCCUACAUGAAGCCGGAAUCGCUAGUAAUCGCGGAUCAGCACGUCGCGGUGAAUACGUUCCCGGGCCUUGUACACACCGCCCGUCACACCACGAGAGUUUGUAACACCCGAAGUCGGUGAGGUAACCUUUUGGAGCCAGCCGCCUAAGCUAGCAUAGCUGCUUGGACGACGUCUACUCAAUUUUUGU